GGGGGGCAUUAUUCUGUCCCCUCACCCCUAAGAGUGCCUAAUGAAAGCUGCUUCUACUGCAUUUAACAUCUUAGAGGUCCACCUCUGCUUCUGUAAUGCGCCUGUUUUACGGUAUUAUGCAGUUUGGCUGAGUAGGCAGGACACCGUUCGUUGUUCAGCCUCAGGCAGCAUAAUAUAUCGGGACGACUCUAGCUAUUAAUAAAUAAACACGCAGCUACUUCCUAGAAAGCUGCCAGGACUGGAAAACUACAAAACCCACUAGGCUUCCUUCCAGACAGGGAACGUGUUGGCGCGAAGCAUGAUGGGCAAAGAAAACCUUGUCUUAUGGUUCCUCCGUCAAUAAGGCGCCGUGACGUAGCUGCUCCUUUACCGGCCGCUGUAGAUUCAGAAUCGCUUGCUUCUAGUUUCCCCCGGCCUGAAGUAACUUUCUCUUCCGCCUUCUGGGGUCCCUGAGUGGCUUUGGGCCAGACCAAUGCAUUUCCCGCAUCCCUUCCUGGCCGCCAAUCGCGGGGCUGAGGGGGCGUUCUCCAGUAACACGGCGUAGCCCUCUGGAGAGGAGCGAAGUCAGGCCGUGGACGCGACGCAAAGCAGGGAGGGGGGGGCGGAGGAGGCAGAAAGGGAAGAAGGUGGCUCUUAAAGGGCCCGUAGCGGAAGAAAGUUGUGAGGAGAGUUUCUUGAGGAGAUUUCCUCUCCCCCCCUAAAAAAAACCACUAGGUCCUGUCAGGGUGGUAUAAACGCGCCGUGCCUUGGUGGUAGAGGAAGUCUCCCUGGAGCCUCCGGCCGCAGAAUGGAGCAGGCAGCGCCUAAAAGCAAGCUAAAAAAGCUAAGUGAAGACAGCUUGACUAAGCAGCCCGAAGAAGUUUUUGAUGUCUUGGAGAAGCUUGGUGAAGGGUCUUAUGGCAGUGUGUUUAAAGCCAUUCAUAAGGAAUCUGGGCAAGUAGUGGCAAUCAAGCAAGUCCCUGUUGAAUCUGAUCUACAGGAAAUAAUUAAAGAAAUUUCAAUAAUGCAACAGUGUGACAGCCCUUAUGUUGUCAAGUACUACGGCAGCUAUUUUAAGAACACAGACUUGUGGAUUGUUAUGGAGUACUGUGGAGCUGGUUCGGUGUCAGAUAUCAUUAGAUUACGGAACAAGACGCUUACAGAAGAUGAAAUUGCUACUAUUCUUAAGUCAACGCUUAAAGGACUUGAAUAUUUGCACUUCAUGAGAAAAAUACAUAGAGAUAUAAAGGCUGGAAACAUCCUUUUAAACACUGAAGGGCAUGCCAAGUUAGCUGACUUUGGAGUGGCUGGACAGUUAACUGAUACAAUGGCAAAACGCAAUACCGUCAUAGGCACUCCAUUUUGGAUGGCUCCAGAGGUAAUACAGGAAAUUGGUUAUAACUGCGUAGCAGACAUCUGGUCUCUUGGUAUUACUUCAAUAGAGAUGGCAGAAGGAAAGCCACCAUAUGCUGAUAUACAUCCUAUGAGGGCAAUUUUCAUGAUUCCUACAAAUCCCCCUCCAACAUUCCGGAAGCCAGAACUUUGGUCUGAUGAAUUCACCGAUUUUGUGAAAAAAUGUUUAGUGAAAAAUCCUGAGCAGAGAGCUACUGCGACACAACUUCUGCAGCAUCCUUUUAUUAAGAAUGCCAAACCAGUCUCAAUUCUAAGAGACCUGAUUACUGAAGCUAUGGAAAUUAAAGCAAAAAGACAUGAAGAACAGCAGAGGGAACUAGAAGAAGAAGAUGAAAACUCGGAUGAAGAUGAACUGGACUCUCACACCAUGGUGAAGACAAGCUCUGAGAGUGCGGGCACAAUGAGAGCCACUAGUACAAUGAGUGACAGUGCUCAAACAAUGAUAGAACAUAAUAGCACUAUGCUAGAAUCAGACUUGGGGACUAUGGUGAUCAACAGUGAUGAUGACGAUGAUGAAGAUGAGGAUGGAACCAUGAAAAGAAAUGCUACAUCACCCCAGGCGCAGCGACCUUCCUUUAUGGAUUAUUUUGAUAAACAAGAUUCCAAGAAUAAAAGCCAUGAAAACUGCAAUCAAAAUAUGCAUGAAUCCUACCACAUAUCGAAGAACGUCUUCCCUGAUAACUGGAAGGUUCCUCAAGAUGGUGAUUUUGAUUUUAUAGCUUGAGACACUUGAUCUCCCCACACAUCUUCUCUCAGCCCCAUGUGAAGUUUGCCUGGAAUCACUAAAGUCUCUAAAAUCUGGUAAGCCCCAAAAUGCUAAAAAAUCUGAGUUUGGAAGAGCUGCAGAUGAGGUUAAAAGCAUUGGAUCCUAUGAUGGAAAGAGAAAUUGAAGAGCUUCGUCAAAGAUAUACCGCAAAGAGGCAACCUAUUCUUGAUGCAAUGGAUGCAAAAAAACGAAGGCAACAGAACUUCUGAUAUUACUUCCUCACAUGCUGCUGCAAGUCAUUAUGGACUCUGGUAAAAACUGUACAUAACUACAAGUCUUGAAAAGUAGCAACUCUGAAUAUCACAACAGCUAAAGCUAAAAUACUAGAAGAUAGCAAAUUUAUGUUCUACAACCGAAGUGAAAAACUGUCCUAUUUUUCAUGUUUCAAUAAUGAGACGUUUCACAUUCCACUUCCAGAUCCCUUGUCAGCUGUGUUUCAGCAAUGCUGUGUCUUGUACAAUAAGAAGUAGUAACUGGUCCUUGAUAAGACCUAAAGCUAUUUCCUAAUUGCUCAAUAAAGCUGGGCCUUAAAUUUCACGCACAUUUAAAGGCAUAUUUAUUGUAUAUGCUUAGGUGAUCUUAUUUAUUUUUAUGCUUUUGCUUCUUAAGUAUAAAUGAUGCAUGCAUAUACUAAUAGUGGAAGUUAGGGUGGAGUAAGCAAAAUGUGUAUGUCACACUCUAAAGAGAAGUCACACUCUAAACAGAAGUUACUACUAUAUUGAAACCUGACUCAGGUAAAGAGUGUUCACUCUAGUGGGCUUGUAUGCACCCAAUUAAGUCUAAUGGGAUUUAUUUUAGGAGCAAGAACUGAAGUGUGGUUUUAUGCACUGCUCUGGGCUUGUGGUUUGCUGGCUACCCUGGAGAAAUACUCAUAUAGAAAAAGACAUUAGCUUGAGCUUCUGUCUUUGAAAUGAAUAAACUGAAAUGAACCUUAAACCAUGUUCAUUUAUGGCCAGGUGAUUUUCGUAUGUCAUGUUUCCCCUUGGGUUUUUAGCUCAGCCUUUCCCUUCUGCUGAGUAGAUGAGGAGACAAGUGCCUAUAUUUCUUUCUCUUCCUACCCUACUUUAUAUGCAGGAGAAAUGCAGUUCACUACCCUUCAGUUCAUAUUUCUGUUCACCACUGUUUUCCAUCUAUAAUAGAGAUCCUUAGACCCUCCAGAUGAUGUGGGAUUCUCCCUACUCCUGUUAUCCCUGACUGACAUGUGGGUUGAUAACAUCUGGAAGGCUGCAGGUUCCCGACCCUUCAUCUGUAUUCACCUAUUUAAGUAUUCCUCUUGGCUCCUUGCUUGCAUCAAUAAGCCAGCUUGAAUUGUUUUUGCUUAUUUUUUCAGUUAUCCUACCCAUUUUCUUUUAUCCUCAUAUUGGAAUUUCUAAACAUUUUUUGUUGUUUAUAAACACCAAGAAACACCAAUUGAAAAGCCAGAGAUAAUUACUCUUCUGAUCUACAGUACAAGCAUGUACUGGUAUCCUCUGCUGUAGUUUGCCAUUUAGAAAAAUAUUCCCUUAAAUGCCAAGGGCAUUUUAAAAAAUACAUCAUGCCUCUGUAUUUAAAAUGCAUUUGCAUUUUGCUACUUUUACAAGGAAAACACUGUCACCUAACUGCAUUGUGAAUGAUCAUUAAGCCAAGCUUAAUAAUGUUCCCCCAAAAAACUCUGAGCAUUACAAUUCUCUUUUAAUGUCCAUAGUGGCAUACCUUUCAGUCGUAUUUUUAUAGGGAAAUAUGACUACAAGAGAAAUAGGCUUAAUCUUCUGAGAAAUAAUGUAUUAAGAUACUAAUACAUUAUACAUAUAUUAGCAAGCUAGCCUUAAUUAUAGCAGGGUACAUGUGACAGGAAGGAGCAAAGGUAAUACCUAUAACCUUUAGACAGCCUGUUAUUCCCAUGCUAAAUAGGCUGGCUACUGGAAUAGUUAUUCCAACACUAUUGUUUAGGGCUUUCUUUUCAUUUGCUUGCUUAUUUGUAGGUUUGGAUGGUUUUUUUGGAAAUUGACAGUCUCAGUGGAUUUGCCAUCAUAUGCUUGCAAGGGCUUUUCAGCCCUUAAUCUGUGCUUGUUUCCAAUAACUGAAAGUAUCCUUUUAUAGGGUCCUUAUUUUUCCUCUCACUGCCAAACAAUAUGUGUGGGGUGUUCUUAUAACAUCUAAAAUGUCUUAAUAUAUUUACAUGUACACAGGCAUAAUAAGGAUCUUCAUAACAACCCUUAAGAAUAUAUUAUUCUCUGAAGGUCCUGGAUUUUACCAGACAUUCCAUCUCUUUUUAAAGUCUACUGCCAUCAUUGUAAAACAUUGACACCACGCACUGCAAACUGUAAAGCCACACAACACAGUGUAAAAAGCCUUAAAACAGACAAUGAUUGCUGUAAUGGGACUGUUCCCUUAUUUUUCAGCUGGGCAGGAUCUUUAUCACGUGUUAUCUUUAUGUAUACAUGUGUAUGCACAUGUUUCAGAAUGGUGAUGUUAAACCAUUUUUUCCUGAUCUUUUAUAACUUUCAGUAAAAACUCUUUCAAAUCCUAAACUGUGUAUAAAAGUGAUGGGAAAAAAUGUCCUUGCAAAACUUGUCAAAGCUGUACUGUUUUGCUCCUGGUCGUUCCACUAUCUUUCAUCACAUCAAAGUUAUUGUGAUGUACUGUGAAACUAAUAGUUCAUUUUAUUGUACAUCUGACAUCUGAAAUGUUUUGCUAAUUAACAGAUGGAUAUAUUGGUAAUUAUAGGUACUUAUGAGGUGACCUAUGAAACCUUCCGAUUGCUAUACUUUGAGAUAAGCUACAACAUAGAAUGAAAAAAACAUUCUUACUGUAUUAUAGGCAGUUUAGAAGGGCCCACAGUUUUUCAAAGCAGAACCAAGGUCUUAAGUUUCCUUUAACAAAAAACGUAAAUUUUGAAGCUACAACUUUUCAAAAUCUGUACUUCAACCUUGUCUUUUCAUGGUGUGCCUUAAGCAUAAUUAUCUUUGACCAAUCAGACAUUCUUUGACUUCCUCUUUUGGUGUUGCUUUGAUUAUUGUUACACAGAGCUAGCUAGAAAGACAAUAUGAAAGUCAGCUGUCAGGCUAAAACCUCGAACAUCUGGAAAUGUCUCUAUUCAGAUACUGGCAUAGUUCAGAUAUAUAAGUUACAGCUGAAUAAGCUGAGAUAUGCACAAGCCUUGGGACUGUGCACUCUGUCCUCAUGUUGCCCAUACCUUCAUUCUUGCCAAGAUUAACCCAGGAAGUCUUCAAUUAACAGUAGUUUUCCAUUAUAUUUGAGCUAUGAUUCCCAGGUCUGGAACAAGCCAAUAACUUAAACCACCUGGUACAGGGAUUGCCAUGUCUCUUUAUGCCUCUACUCCCAGCCCAAAGUGGAGCUAUAUGCAUCAGCACAAAGCAACACUGUAAGAUCUUUGCCUACAUGGCCUAAAGUGAAGCCUGAUACCUCAAGCUGAUGGGAUAAAUGUGAUACCUCCAUCUUGAGGCAUUUCUUUAACAUAGAUCUUGCAAUGGCAACAACUGUUCAGGAUAGUAUUUAGAAUUUACUGCUUCUCCCCACCCACAACUCUGUAGCGCUCAGCCUGAUAAAAUCUCCUGCUGGAACACUCACCUGUUUUAAAUAUUUUAGUAGUCCAGUAAAGGUAUUACUCAGCUUUGUUUUGGAUUUUGUACAAGACCUCACAACCUUUUUCUUUUCCAUUCUAGGAAUCAUGUUUACAGAACCUAGCUUGUUCUGUAUCUAAUGGGUUUGGAUGUAACAGGAAGCUAUGACUGUCUGUGGUUGACCCAGAUUUCUCACGUUAACUGCAGCCUGCAAAGCUGAGAAGGGGUACCAUAAGGUGGACUUCAUUGGCACAAGAUUUGUGUCUAUCUCAUCUUAUAAAAGCCAGCAUAUAUAUGUCUAAAUCAGGCCAUUUGGUCUCAUGAUGGCAUUUGUCAGCCAAAAAGAUAAAAAUGAAUUAAACUACAUUUCUCCAUUUAACAUUUUAUUCAGUGCAGUAUGAAGUGAAAUAAAAUUAAGCUAAAAGUAGAACUGAAAAUUAUUCAUCUCUGAAGUUCUACUCCGCCCAUAGAUAAUUUAUAGUUUAUUCACUGUUUAUAGGAUCAGGUAACAAAUCACAUUCAAGAAAUGAAAGACAGGGAUAGGAUAUAUGCAUAAUUGGCUUUUUUAAUCAUUCUUUCAUAUUUAUGAGCAUUUACUGAAACAUACACAAUUUGUGCGCAUAACCACUUUUAUCUCCAAUGAAGGCAUACGUCUUUUGUAAAGUAUUUAUUUUACUAAAACUUGCAAUAAAUUCCAUGGAGUUGACAAUUAACCUUAGUGAAAUUUUAACCUAGCUUGGUUUAUGGUUUGUUUCCUGUCUUGUACUUAAAAUUUUAAAGUACAGCUUCCCCAAACUCUGAAAAAUAAUUGUUUGUUACCAAACAUUUUGAAUAAAACAUAUUUUCCAUCA